rnacentral:rRNA from 1 species
CCUACGGGUGGCAGCAGUGGGGAAUAUUGGGCAAUGGGCGCAAGCCUGACCCAGCAACGCCGCGUGAAGGAAGAAGGCCCUCGGGUUGUAAACUUCUUUUCUAUAGGACGAAGAAGUGACGGUACUAUAGGAAUAAGCCACGGCUAACUACGUGCCAGCAGCCGCGGUAAUACGUAGGUGGCGAGCGUUAUCCGGAUUUACUGGGUGUAAAGGGCGUGUAGGCGGGAGAGCAAGUCAGAUGUGAAAACUACAGGCUUAACCUGUAGCCUGCAUUUGAAACUGUUCUUCUUGAGUGAUGGAGAGGCAGGCGGAAUUCCUAGUGUAGCGGUGAAAUGCGUAGAUAUUAGGAGGAACACCAGUGGCGAAGGCGGCCUGCUGGACAUUAACUGACGCUGAGGCGCGAAAGCGUGGGGAGCAAACAGGAUUAGAUACCCCAGUAGUC